rnacentral:rRNA from 1 species
UGCGUAGGGGGCAAGCGUUGUCCGGAUUUAUUGGGCGUAAAGAGCGUGUAGGCGGCCUGAAAGGUCAGCUGUGAAAACUCGAGGCUCAACCUCGAGACGUCGGUUGAAACCAUCUGGCUAGAGUCCGGAAGAGGAGUGUGGAAUUCCCGGUGUAGCGGUGAAAUGCGCAGAUAUCGGGAAGAACACCCGUGGCGAAGGCGGCACUCUGGGACGGUACUGACGCUGAGACGCGAAAGCGUGGGGAGCGAACAGG